CACGGAGUUAGCCGGUGCUUAUUCGUAUAGUACCUUCAGCUACCCUCACGAGGGUAGGUUUAUCCCUAUACAAAAGAAGUUUACAACCCAUAGGGCUGUCGUCCUUCACGCGGGAUGGCUGGAUCAGGCUCUCACCCAUUGUCCAAUAUUCCUCACUGCUGCCUCCCGUAGGAGUCUGGUCCGUGUCUCAGUACCAGUGUGGGGGAUCACCCUCUCAGGCCCCCUAAAGAUCGUAGACUUGGUGAGCCGUUACCUCACCAACUAUCUAAUCUUGCGCGUGCCCAUCUCUAUCCACCGGAGUUUUCAAUACCGAAUGAUGCCAUUCAGUAUAUUAUGGGUAUUAAUCUUCCUUUCGAAAGGCUAUCCCCCAGAUAAAGGCAGGUUGCACACGUGUUCCGCACCCGUACGCCGCUCUCAAGAUCCCGAAAGAUCUCUACCGCUCGGCUUGCAUGUGUUAGGCCUCCGCUAGCGUUCAUCCUGAGCCAGGAUCAAACUCU
rnacentral:rRNA from 1 species